GACGACGCUGGCGGCGUGCUUAACACAUGCAAGUCGAGCGAUGAAACACCUUCGGGUGUGAAUUAGCGGCGAACGGGUGAGGAACACGUGAAGAAUCUGCCUUCAACUCUGGGAUAACUCCGGGAAACCGGGGCUAAUACCGGAUAUGAGCCUUGAUCGCAUGAUCGGGGCUGGAAAGUUUUCGGUUGAAGAUGACUUCGCGGCCUAUCAGCUUGUUGGUGAGGUAAUGGCUCACCAAGGCGACGACGGGUAGCCGGCCUGAGAGGGCGACCGGCCACACUGGGACUGAGACACGGCCCAGACUCCUACGGGAGGCAGCAGUGGGGAAUAUUGGGCAAUGGAGGAAACUCUGACCCAGCGACGCCGCGUGAGGGAUGAAGGCCUUCGGGUUGUAAACCUCUUUCAGUAGGGAAGAAGCGAAAGUGACGGUACCUACAGAAGAAGCACCGGCUAACUAUGUG
rnacentral:rRNA from 1 species